GAAAGUACCUGUUACAGAGAAUUCCACAAACAGGCAGAAAGAAAAAAACCCUAUCUCUGCCUAAUACAGUUCAUGGUAACAGACCAUAAUUCCCCCCACCUCACCCCCAUGUGUAUUUCCUAGAUGAAUGAAAGAAAGAAAGAAAGAAAGAAAGAAAGAAAGAAAGAAAGAAAACUCACAUAUUUGAUAAGCUGUAAUUUAAGAACCAGCAUAAUUCCUAAAUAUACUUUCAGUCGGGGAGCUGGGGUGGGUAUAUUUUAAAAAAUGAUCAAGAAAUUACUGAGAGGACUGUCUUCCUUAUGGUUCGUGUGGUACAGUGGUUGAACUCACAGAAACUGCAGCCAGAAUGCUUCGGUUUUAAUUCAGACUCCACUAUCAGUCAUCAGCAUGAACCUCAGCAGGUUAUCCUCAGUUUCCUCACCUGUCAUGUUGGUACCAACCUCACAGAGUUAAAUGGUUGCACAAAAGUGUGAAUGUGGAGCACUUAGGACAGAAUCCAGAGCUCUUAUUAUGUCCUCAUCACCUUGAGUUUUGGGGGGUUCUGAUUCAGCAAACAUUUCCUGAGUGUUGACUGUACAUUGCUGAAGAGUCACAGAACAUAUCAUGAAAGACUCUCCUCUGAGAACCUCAGCACCCACCCCCCACCCCAGUGUUUUGCAUCCCCCACCCUUCUCCUGACAUGUCAUGACUAUUUGGCCAGCACAGUGCACAAUGCAACCCUUAUUCCUUCAACUUCCCCUGACUCCACAGAACAUUCACCCAUUUACUGAGCUUCAAGUUUUCUGAAGGCUCUGAAUUGCCUCCUGACUGGGUAGUCCUCCUGCUUCCUCUGGGCACUCUUAUCUCCCCCCUGACGUCCUUACCCUCCUCCCCUGGGAAGCUGCACUCUUUGGGCACUCGAUUUCCUCUCAGUCAUACAUCAUAGAACACGUUAGUGUCCAUCUUGUUCACGCAUUUUUGAGUCUUAGGGUUUCUGACCGAAGUCGGUUGUUCCUCUUUUCAUCCACUGAUGGUUCCAGACAAAGUUCAUAAAGGAUGGCCUCCUCGUCAAUAGAACAUGAAAGGAUUUGCAGAAUAAUAUUGCUCUUACAAAAAUGUGUCUCAGGACCUAAUUGAGAUUCCAUUUUGACAAAAGAGAAAAAAAAUAAAAGAAGCCACGAAGUGACUGGAACAUGAGGUAAGAGUGAACACAAAGCUUAAGAAACCCCCCAUUUUCAUCUGGGGCUGAGGAGGCCGCAGGCGCAUUUGUAAUAUGAUGCCAAAGAAGACAGCACAACUUUCAUUUGCUCUUCUAGACUAAACUGACCAAACUCACUGACCAAACACGUAAAACCUCUUGAAACCUUGGUCUGUUCUGAGUAUUACUUCUGCCUCCUUAAGGAUCUUGGCUGUGGAGCUAGGCAGCCUGUUAAUGAACUAACAGAGCUUUGUAAACUGCUUAAGAGAUGUGGGUGGGCAAUUGGGACUCUUAGAGCAAAGACAAGAUGAUUAAAUAAAAGUCUUCCCUGAUUGGGAUAGAUCUACCUGCCUUGUCACUCCCUGAAUCCAAAGGAUUUUAAUGGAGAUGGCAGGAGUCUUUUUGAGAGAAAUGGGAUGAGGGGAGUCCCUCGGGGCCCAGGAGAGCAGUAGCCCAGCGCCUCUCUCUAGCAUGCAGGGAAGAGAAUCCUGCAGCCUGGGCAGUGAACAAGAGCUGAGGAAUAAAGACUGUGGAUGCCAACUAGACUAAGUACAAAGGGCAGCCCUUGCCGUGGUGGAUGAGUAUAACCGGAAGGAAAAGUCUUAAGUUUUGAAGCAACUCAUAAAGUCCGAUGUAAAUGGUAAAAGCUUGACUGCCACAUGAGUGAAGAUUCACCUCAAACAUACCCAAUUCAGAUACUCUGCAUGCCAUUGGCUGUGUGACAUAUUGCCCAAAUGACUGCCAGAUGUGUGUGUCUUCUACCAAGCAAACUGCUGAUACACUUACAGCGUGAGGUCUCUAAGCAGUUUCCUAGGAAACUGAGCCAUCAGCAGGGCAUUCUCACUGAGCACUCUCCAGAGGGGGAGACUCAAUACAUAGUUCCUUUUUUUCCUAAGUUCUCCUUUCCCUCCUCCUCUCUAUCCUACAACCCCUCACAUCAAAAAUGUCGAAAGAAUGGAUGAUCUAAUGAUACUAAAUAGGCAAUAUUACCACCUAUUAAUAGAAAGAAUGUAUUUGCUAAAUCUCAGUUUGGCCAUAUUGCCUGUCAGAUGAACCAACAAGAUAAGAGUUGUGGAAUUAUGCAUUUUCCAGAAAAAUCUAUGACCGGAGAUCCCAGAGUCAUUAUUCCAGUGUGUGGCAAGAUGAUGUGAGAAGAGUGAGUUAACAGGCUUUGGAUGUUCAUAGUGCAGAAGACUUGGAAAUACAUGAUCUUGAUAAUCUUCAUAAAAGUUUAGAAGAUGCUCACGGUAAAACAAUUCCCAGCAUCUCAAAACCUUGCUGAACAGAAGUGAUUGCAGUCCAGAGCGUCCUUUGAAGAUGGAGCAUUCUGCCAUUCGUGUAUGUUCCGAGAUCCUUUCCAGCCCUCAGAUGCCCUCUGGGCUGGGUGUCCCGCUGGCUGGAUGCCUCUGAAGGGCCUCCUAGGUGAAUCCUGCCUGGAAAGCUGAGCAUAACCAGGUCAGACGUGGGAGUUUCGAGUUUGGUAGGAAAUAAGGUUCUUUCUGUCCAGGCCAACCAUUGAAUUUGAGGUGAAGAAAUAACAUUGGUAAAGAAAAACAAAGAAUGGCUUCUGUGGCAGAGUCAUUUCUUGCAUUUCAGAUGUUGAUCACCAUUCUUGUGCAUUACGUAGGGCUUCUCUUUCUCCGCUUUCUUUGGCUGCUUUGCCUUCUCACAUUGCACACUUUUACUCCCUCUAGAAAACAGACCAGCUAAGAGACAUGAGCUAAACUCAAAUCUGAUCGUUGUGCUGCUAAUAAGCAGCUCUACUAACGAUUUUUUCCUGCUCCUGGAGUUCAGGGAGGGAGCAUUUCUUAUUAAUCUCUGCACUUCUUCCCGCCAGCACUUUACCCAGGUGUCUAAUGAUUGUCAGUGAUUGUUUACAGGUGGAUUAGAUCGAAGUGAAUAUUUUAUUUUGAUUUGCAGGACAGAGAUGGAGACAGUGCUCCAGCUUCUUUUGUGGGGGGAGUCCUGAGGCUCCUGGAACCUACAGAGAAAGUGGCUCUGCUUGCAGCUUUGCUCUGCCAUUGUGUUUUUCACACAUGGAAAGGGACACUUGAUCUGGGGGGUUCUGCCUGCCCACCCAGUGACGGGCUGGUGUUUUGUGUCCCCCAUCAUAGACAUGGGGCUCCCUCUGUGGCCCAAGCUCGGGCUCAUCUCUGACCCCCUGGGUCUACGUGCACCUUCAUCCCAUGGUCAACCUAGAGAUGUGUCUCUGUCACAAUCCUUAUGAAUCAUCACUUUCUCUCCAGCCCCUGUCAUAGCAUUUGUUGAUUUGAUGGGCCAGGCACAGAUGGCAGUUCUCACACACAUCUGGGCACUGCCUGAUUGAGAGCAGAGAGGCUGAGGAAAGCUACUCUCUCUGUCUUGCCAGGGAGAAUGAACAACUGUGAGCCUCGUGGAUCCAUGUCACAGGCAGAAGAAAGGCAGUUCAAUAGUAAGGAUUUGGGGUAAGGCAGGUGAUACGGCUACAAGGGAGAGAAUCUGCACUCCAAACCAAGAAGGACAUGAGUCUGAAGCAGACGGAUGCUUGGCUGGGAAGCUAGAGAAGGCAGGCAUGCUUCCGCCAACAGAAAAAUAACCAGGUUCUUCCUAAGUCAGUGGUUCUCACAGUUUUUAGGUUCAGGACUUUGUUAUUCUUUUAAAAAAUGAUUGAUGGCCCCAAAUACUUUAUGUGAGUUACAUCAAUUAAUAUUUACCAUAUUAGAAAUUAAAACUUCAAAAUUGAAAAAAUAAAUUACAGUUUAUUUCAAACAACGUGCCAAUUGUUUGUUAACAUAAUUUAUCUUUAUUAAAAAAAUUAUGUUUCCAAAAAAUAAUUAGUGAGAAUAGCGUCAUUGUUUGCUACAAAUCGCUUUAGCAUCUGGCUUCAUGAGGGACAGUUGGAUUCUCUUUUCUGUCUAUGGAUUCGAUCUGUUGCCAUAUCCUGUGUCUUGUAUCUUCUGGGAAACUCUACUGUACACUUAAGAAAGAAUGAGAUUGAACAAACCAAAUAAUGUCAUAGUGUUUUUAGGAAAAGAGUUUUGACCUUUCAGACCCCAGGGGGUAAGUUUUAGGGACUCCCAGGGUUCCCCAGACCAUCCUUUAAGAACUGCUUUCCCAGGUGUAAACUCCCAGAAACGUGCCUCUCUCUGUGUCUAACAUGUGGCCAUCUUUUACAAUGACAUCUCUGCAUUAGCAGAAAGUGGGUAAUGGCAAGCCAAGCGGAUAAUUCUUUUUAAAUCUUUUGCCCUUUGAACAGUGCAUGUGAACAUUCCACAAAGCAUCACAGAGGCAAGCGAGAAUAAGAUUGACGUUGACUGUCCUGUUGGACAGUCUGGACAAGUUCUUGCUCAUUGACUGGCAAACAAGAUAAUCCAGAUCAUGAGACAGUAUCCUCUCUGUGCUUUUCAAAAUGUGAAUCUCAAAUUGUAUGAGCGCCACUUGGCCUGGGCAGCACAUAUGUUUUUCCUCUCUACGAUCAUGGAAAGCUUUAUAAGACAGGAACACCUGCUCCACGGCCCCUCCGAGCUGUGUGUUUCCAGGACCCCAGGGCAGCUGAAAUCUGCUUUCCAAGUGACCAAUCACUGGGCAGUUUACUGACUUUUCUGGUACUUCCUGGGCAGCCCAGAUUCCUCUCACUUAAUAUUAACUCCCUUUUUCCUGAGCUAAUCAAGAUAGUGACAGAGCUGUGACACUAGCAAGAUGAGCAUGAAUGGAAAGUGAUGAUUUAUAGGGAUUGUGGUCUAGCUUUGCUCAGGCCAAGACUCUCCCUGCUAGGGAAGGGUGGUGGGUACAGCCAGUCUGCAGCCAACGUGCAGAUCACAGAAAGGCUCCAAAAAAAUGAAACAAAUCACAUUUUUAUGUUGUUCUAAAGCGGGAACAUCAUUUUUAAUGCGGCUAGGUAAAGAUUGAGUGGCGUUCUCUGUCCCUUGAGAAGACUAUGGUAGUCCUCCCCUUACCUGUGGUUUUGCUUUUGGAGGUUUCAGUGACCUGUGGUCAACCACGGGCCAGAAGCAGAUGCUUCACCUCUGACAUAUCAUCAGAGGUCAGUAGGAACCUAACUCUAUGUCACAGCGCCUACGUCAUUCCCCUCACUUCAUCUCAUCACAUAGCCAGUUAGCAUCUCACGUCAUCACAAGAAGGGUGAGUACAGCACAAUAUGAUAGCUGGAGAGAGAGAGAGAGGCCACAUUCACAUACGUUUUAUUACAGUACAUUGUUAUAAUGGUUCACUGUUAUUAUUAGCUAUUGUUAUCAUAAAUCAAACGUUGUCAUAGGUCUAUAUGUAUGGGAAAAACAUAGCAUAUAUUUCGGUACCUUCUGGGGUCUCCGGCAUCCACGGGAGGGUCUUAGAACAAUCCUGGUGGGUGCGGAGGGACUAGUGUACAUGCAUCAGUGCUCAGACCUCUCCAGAACUGGCAGGGGGAUGGUCUCGGUAGAUUCAGCUACAAUCACAGAAUUUUUUAGUGAGAAAGAGAGUUAGAAAUCACCCCUGUGUGGAGAAAAGGGUGUGUGUGUGUGUGUGUGUGUGUGUGUGUGUGUGAAUGUGCACAUGCACAUGCAUGUGUGUCUGGUUUGUGUAUGUGGGAGGCAGAUGCAGGGUAGGCCCAGUGCCCCCACAGCAAAGGCCCAUGGGUAUUGUCUUUCUUUGCCGUCCACCAAACCUAGCUGUGGAACUCAGGCAUCACACUAAGGAAGUGGAACUCUCCAUUUCCCAUUUUCUCUGUAAGCCCUGCUCCUUAGGUGAUUUCUUAACCUCUCUGGGUCUCCGUUUCCAUAGUUAGAGAAUGGAUGUAACAGUAACAUCUAUCUCAUAGGGUUGUUUUGAAAAUUGGAAGGCAGUAUAUGUAGAAGUUCCUUAAAGCACUGUAUAAUACACAAGAAGCACAAAAUAAAUGCUAGUUACCGUUUUUAUUAUUAUUAUUAUUAUUAUUAUUAUUUGACAUCUCUGAAACUCAGUUUUCUCACCUGCAAAGUAGAUUUUCCAGGUUAGUAUGGGGAUGAGUUAGAGAAUAUAUGGCUUAGAAAAAAAUGUCAGGUGCCAUUAAAAUAUGCUUGUUGACAGAACAAGUCAAUUUUUUGUUACCUGGGUAUUUUCCCAUGUGUAAGAUUCCAGUCCUUGAGCACUAACACAUGAUUUUCUGUGCUGUUUUGAAAAUAGGACAGUUAAUUUUGAUUAAGUGAAUAUAUGAUACCAGCCAGUGAAGAAACAGCAAUAUACUCUCAACCAGUAAUAACAGUGACUAUUUGUGCAGUGUUUACCCUAGGCCAGCACUGAGCUAAGUAUUUUACAUGUAAUAGAUUGUCUGUCUUCUCACUGCAGCUUCUUGAAGGAGGCGCUGCAGUUAUUCCCAGUUUGCAAAUGAGUAAAGCGAACCUGAUGGUUCCCCCAGGGCCCCUAGGGUAGCACAUAGCCCUGCCAGGACUGAACCCAGGCAGGCUGGUUCCCCAGUCAGUGUAGUUCCCCUUACCCAGUAUAGUAGCAGAGCUGGAGGUCCAGAAGGAGGUGAACAGGGAUUGCAGCCUCGUUUGCUCUCAGUAGGCCCCAACGUUGUGCUCUGCAAGUGAAAGAAUUAGUAGACCUUUUGUCCUCUUUAGAUAAGGUAAAAGGUAAGACGAUUUGUCUAUCAUCAGUAUUUAUGAAGAGAAGGUGCCUGCUUCUUAGAGGCGGAAAUUGUUGCCCAAACGUAACCCAGGGAUCGAGCCAAGAAUAGAUUCUUGAGUUGGGGGAGAUCAGGUGCAAGACUCAAAGAGCUCUGAGGAGAACCUGAGAUCCUAUUUAAAAAAAAAAAAAAAGGCAUGCAGAGUCUAAUCCAGGGCUGAGGCCCAGGCACGAGGUACGACCUUCACAGGUAAAGAGAUGCACUUUUAUUCAAGUUGAAUGGAGGCUCUCCUAGGGGCAUGGAUAUCAUUUCCCGGUCUCAGUCCAACACUAUUUGGUGGAACAAGAUGAUGCCAGAGCAGAGGCAUAGCUAGCUCUUUCUGGGGAGGCUGUAGAACUUAGGAAUAUAGAGUGGGAGCUUUAGAGUUAGAGAGCCCUGAAUUUAAAUCUCAGUUCUGCCAUUUAAAAGCUCUGUGGCUGUGCAAGUACUCCAUUCUCCAAGUGGUUGCAAAGAUUAAAUCACAAAAUUGCAUGUAAGUAAAUCCCUUGAUACUUUAGAAGCACCCAGUAAAUGAAAGCCAUUAACCUCAGUGUUACACUGGCUAGUUCCUGAAUUUUCCAGUAGUGUUGAGGGACUGUCCCUUAACCAUGGCUCGACUCCCACCUAGUUUAGGUCCUCAAAGGUGAUGCCAAUUUUAGGUACAGGGCCCCAUGGGUAGGGGACUGGUAUGGUUCUAAGCCUGCUUUCCUUACACAUGUAUUAAAUUCAGGAUGGUACUGGCCAGGCUUUUCUGGAACUGAACACUCGGCUUGAUCUUGCUCUAGCUCAGGCCUUAAACCAAUAUGCAGGAAGAGAUGUCCUAGGCAAACAGAGUCAUGCCCCGGGGUUAAGGGAUAAAGGUCAUGGUUUACCCUUUCAUGAUCUGGACAGUCAUCAAACCCUGUCACGUUCCUAAGAGCUCUGGUUAUACAUUUGAGGGGUCGCCCAUCUUUACACCAGAUGGGAGAGGUUACUAACUGAACAAGACCUAGGCCUGUUUGUGAAAUGAAGGGACCACGCUGUCUGCCUGAUGCAGGUCAUUAGCUGAGCAAGGAGCCCUGAGAAUUUUGGAACAUGCGUGCCCUUUACUUGUUAAUUGAAAGCUUGGGGCACAGAUACUGUUAGAGUACCGCUAGGGGCCAGAUUGUGUGCCCAGAGGAGAAGCCCUCUGUGUGUAGGAGACCAGAGCCCUCCUUGUGUUACCUGGGUAAGAGUUUUGCAGAUGGAGGCAGGCUGAUAUCGAACCCAAACUGGCAUGGAGGCUGUGCAAAGGUGGGCAGGAGGCAGUCGUCCACAGGGCAGGGAUCAGGGACCCACAAAUGUGCCGCAGCCCCAGUGUGAUCCAGGCAGCAGGAUUUGGGGUUUGGUCCCUAACAAGCAUUCCCUGGGCACUACCAGAGCCUUGAAAGGAGACAAACUGCUACUGCCCAUAAUGUGAGCCAGGGCCGAAAAUGGGGAGCCCCAGGAGCAGGGGCGAAUGUGUACAGAAUUUAGCCAUGGGGUGUCUCUCAAGCUCCCCCGGACUGCGCACCUGCCCACACAGGCUGGCAGUUUGGUCCUUGCAUUUGCGCAGGAUCUUCUCCUGGCAAUGUCUUCAAGAUGGGGCUUAGCUUCUGACAGGAACAUGUCUUCUUUGGGCACCCCACGUGGCAGCCCUCUUUUUCUUCUGGCUGCUGUAAGCCAGGAUGGAGUGAGCCUCUCAGCGCAAGUCUUGCCCACCCCCUGUGCUGGCUGCCUUUUAUCACGUGCAGUCAUACGCCACGCCGCUGAGAGCUCUGCUGGCACUCAUCCCUGCAGUCCUCCCAGCAGCCUAUGAGAUGGUGCUGUUACUGUGCCCAUUUUAUGGAUGGAGAAACUGAGGUGUUAGGGUUGCGUUAGGUAGGUCAGAUAGCUGGUGAGUGGCAGAGUGAGGAUGCACAGGAGGGCUUUCUUUCCCCAAAGUUCAAGCCCUACACCGCCCUUCCCUGUGACUUAUUCAGCUGAGCUGGAAUCUGAUUCUGUGACGUGUUCGGAUGCUUCUCAGAGUCGCAGCAUCAGGCUGGACUAGGGGUUUGCAACUUGGCUGCUCAUUGACCUAACCUGGGAAGCUUUAAAAAGUACUCCUGCCUCAGCUUUGUCACGAGAGAUUCUGAUUUCAGUUGGUCUGAGAGGCAGCCUGGGCAUUUUCUGGACCAAAGGUUGGCAAACUUUUUCCGUCAGGGGCCAGAUAGUACAUAUUUUAGGCCUUGCAGGGCCAUAUGGUCUCUGUCACAACUACUCAUCUCUGCCUUCAUAGAGCAAUAGCAGCAGUGGGCAUGGCUGCAUUCCAGUAAAACUUUAUUUACAAAAACAGGUGGCUGGCCAAAAUGGGCCUGUGAGCCCUGGUUUGCCAACGACUGAUCGAAUCAGGCUGCCUGUUGGUAGAUUCUACCCAUCACCAGUGAGAUUAGAAUUCAUGUUGCUUCCAAGGAUCUGGUGUCUGUGGUGUCUUGGGAGAGCCCCCCCCAGGCACCCCCAUUCCCUCUAGUCCACUGCCUUCCUGCAGUCUUGGUGGUGUUGGCCUGAUCUCUAUGACUGAGCUUUGACAAUGGCCUCUUUUUUGUGGAGGACCUUAACUCCCCUCCACACCACCCCUACCCCCCCGUCUGAAAUUCUGCCAUGAACCGUCACCUGUUUGGCGGGGGUCCUUACUGGCUUGCUAUCCCUUCCCCACGAGGAGUCAAAAGUGCCCCCCUUGCUCUUGGCUGGAGGCCAGGUCCUCGGUAAUUAGGAAGAUUAGCCGGAUCUGUGAGGCUGCCACCUGUUUGAUAGGAGAACUGCCCCUGUACGAGCACACCUCCCCUUGCUGGCUGUCCCUUGCCUUGGCUCCAUCCAGAGCAGCCCCUGGAGAGGUCUGGCCCCCACCUCUCCUCAUCCAGAGCCCCCUUCUUUCCCUUUCCAGCUGACCUUCCAUGUCUGCCUUGUGCCUGUAGCUUGAGUAAUAGCAUCAUUUUCGCCUGAAGAAUUCGGUCUAUCAAUUAACUGUUUUUAUGGAAUAUUAAUGUAGUAUUCUUGAAAUCGUGGGUCGUAAUUAUUUACAAAGUCAAAAGGGCAGCAGGAAAAUAAAGCUGGUGAAUUGGUUGUGGUGAUUGAAAUUAUGCCCCAGCCUCAUAAAAAUGUCAAAACCAAAGCAUGCCUUCCUUAUCUUCCCUCAUUUGUUAACUGUCCUUGGUAAUGGGGUGCACAGACACCACAAACAUGCCAGACUAAAAGAAAGCAAUUAAUAGAGAAGACACCUAAGAUAUUAACGGUUCACGUACACAAAGUGUCUACAAGUUAAUUGUUAAGACAUCAGAAAGCAUUUGUUCAACAAACUUUUAUUGAGACCCUAAUUUGUUCCAUGUGUCAGGGUACAGGAUAAGGCUCGGGUACUAACUAGAGAGAGACCAUAAUGUAAAAGAAAAACUACAAACCAUGUCAGAAGUACUGCAAUAGAAGCGUGCACACAGCUCUGUGGGAGUGAAUGUUGGAAGUCUGAGGUUUCAGGGAAAGCUUCUCCCUGGGGGUGAGAGGUGAGUUGGUUAAAUGAGGUUCUCCACCUGGGAAACAGGAGGAAAGGCAAUAUGGGCAGAGGGACCACAUGUCCUAGGCAGCAAUGGGGUGUGGUUGUGUGACAAGAGUGUGUGGUUCUUAGAAUAGUGUAGGAGUUGAGUCUGGAAAGCGGCAAAGGGAUGCAUAGGCCAGUCUGAGAGUUCAAGCUUUACUGGGUGACAGGAGCCAAAAAGCCUCUGUGCUUGUGUGUGUGACUUACUUCAGUUGUUUUCCACUAAUUUAAUUUAAUUCUAUCCAAUUUAAGUAACAAUAUAAAGCCCAACAUGAUGUAAACCUGCAGUAAAAGUCCUCAAAUGUUUGUUGAGUGAAUUAAUGAAAUCAUUCCCCAGAUUUCUCAUUUCAUACGUUAUUUCUGUGUCUUUUGUAUAUUUUUCUGGGUCUCUCACUCACAUUGCAGGGUGUCAUCACAUCUCAUCGAUGAUUCUGGGCUAUCUGAGUAUUUCUGAUUGAGGCACUAGGAAGCUGUAUGCAUGGGUGGUGUUGCCUUUGUAGGGCUUUUCUCUGGGGUUCCAAGGUGAGCCAUCCAUUUCACUAGGUGCCUCCCAUGUACCUAUUUGAAGAACUUUUCUCUGGGGUUGUUUGACAUUGGGAGACAAGAAUCCCCUCAUUGGGGGAACAUUAAGACUGCUAGUAUUUUAAUAGAAGACUUGUAAGUGGAGGAGUAAUUCACUCCGGUCUCUGUUUUAGAAUGUUCUUCUGGCAGCAGUGUAGGUCCCAAAUCAGUGUAUGGGGCUCGGAGGGAAGCAGAGGCCCUCACAGGAGGCUGUUGUAAAAAUAAAGAGGUCCUCAGCUAAGAAUGUGGAAGCUAGGAUGGAAAGGAUCAGGAAGUAUGAUUCCUCUUAGGAGACAGAAUUGAUAAUGAGGUCGAGUGAGGACGAGUUUUUUGUGAUUAAAAAUAGAGAAGCAGUAGUGCUUUAGAGGAGUGGGGAAGGUGCUGAGCUAAGGUUGGGGCUGUUGAGUUUGGGGAACAUACAGUUGGGGUUUCCCAUUGCCUUUGGGUGAUGAGGGUUGGAGGUGACAGUGAUACACAAGUGGUAACUACAUCCACAGAAGGGAUGUAGUUAACCCAAGCAGAGUGUGAGAAGGGAAGAGAACAAGUCUAAAGCAGAAACCCAGGGAACUGCAGGAUUUAAGGAAGCACGUGGAGGAAGAACCGGCAGAGCAGAGAGGCUCUCGGGUGGAUCAGUUAGGAUCGGGGCAGCGUUGAUUAGAGUGAGGCAACUGUUACAUCUGGAGCACAAGAUGUACCACUCGAUGAGCUACAGUGUGUUUUGAAUACCCUGGGAACCUUGCCAUUACUCCUACAUUUAGGACGUAAGGCUCCAUUCAUUUGUUCCUUCAUUAACUGAGUAUAAGACAAUCUGCCGGGCACUGGGAGUAGACCUGGUUCCUAUGCUUUAUUCCUCGCAGCUUAGCAAAGAAGACAGACAUACAGCAACACAUUUGGAAACAGAUGUUUUCAUGGAAAACAGUAACAGUUACACUUAAGGAUCAAGCCUUCAGAGCCUUAUCCACCCAGAGCCUCUAAGAGAUAUUUAUGAGUGGAGUGUUUUUACAUAGGGGGUGUGUCUGUGUCCUAAUCUCCCCUGAGUUCCACAGAUGGCCCUGGGGCCAGUGCCUCUUCCUGGUGUCAGCUCCUGGCACACGAACUGCGCUCUGCCCGGGGAUGCUGCCUAACAGAGAAGCGCCACCAGUUUCUGCUGUCUGGGCGCUGGGGGUGGCCGGAGUGGUGGGGACACUCUGGACUGCCUCCCAGCCUCCUACAUAAGCAGUGUGGAGACAGCCGUGUUGACUCUCAGUGGCAUGAUCGAACUGGUCGGAAUGGGAGCUAUGACCUCACCUGGUUUUCGCCGAGCACUGAAGAUGUAACUGAUAGUGUGUGUCAGCUCAUUUGUCCAUACAAGCCGUCGAACCACAUUCGUUACUACCGGUUCUUCUGUUUGUUUUGAAAACUCUUCAUGUUGGAGUUAGGAAUCUGGUAGAAGAAGGAACACUGAUUAAAUGGAUUUGUGGCUGUCACUUAUGGAGACAUCUCAGUUCAACUCAGAAAAGUUCUCCUGAGUACCUACUAUGUGCAGGGCAUGGGGCUGAAAUUUACUGUAUUUUGCAAGACUGCAGACAGCCACAGCUCUGUUGGCUGUUUACGUUGACUUUGACAGACUGAAAUUGCUUUGCUUUCUCCCUUUGCUAGCCUCUCAUGAUAGUUUUCAUCGGCAAACUAGAUUGCAGGAGCGAUUCACUUUGUGCAGUAGAAGGGUUCCUGAAAAUUGUUUUUGAAAAUGAAUUGUUAUCAAAUGAAUAAUGUUUUAACUGUACUGGGGGAUUUUUCUAUGAGUAGGAAGUUCUGAUGCUGAAUUGUUUUGAAAGGUGAAACAUUAUAUUCUGAUUUGUCUGCUUCGUAAAGGAGAAUUUUUAACCUAAAGGGAAAAUAAGUCAAAAUUUAAUAACUUCAGGAAUCUGAAACAAUAUCAAAUCAAAGCAACAACAACAAAAAACACCCAAUUUUUAGGGCUUAGGCGUAGUGAAUGCUAACAAAAAGAGCCAACGUUGUGUAGACCACAUGACAGAAUGUGAGCUGAUCUGAAAACGUAGUCUUAUUUGCAGGGCUAAUAAUAGCAGAUCUUGCCAGUGUAAAAAAAAAAAUGAGAAUAAUGAGAGAAGCAACAGAGAAAGAAGAAAAAGAUUGAGAGGGUGGAGUGGGGAAGCACGGAGAAAAGGAAAGAUAGCAGCAGGUGGUGGAGACACCCGAAGUGGCAGAGGAGAUUACAGCCAAAUGGUGAGAGUGGCAGCAAAGAGAACAGAACACAGAAGCCAGCUCUCCACGAAACAGCCCCUGCCUGCACACAGUGUCCAUAGGACAUCUGACUGCCCGUGGAUUCAGUCAUUCCUAAGGAUCCCGCAUAUUCCUGGCCAGGUUAUGUUCUAAGUGCUUUGUGGACUAACUCCUUUAAGCCUCCUAGCAACGUCUUGAGGAGUCCUCAUUCCCACUUGAU